UAGAGAACCAGACUUCCUCGACCUCGGGAAGCGUCGCAGGUCGGUAGAGCGUGCCCAGACCCGCCGACCUGACGAACGAUUCCUCGACUAAGGUCGGGAUGCCCCGAGGGUCGACCGUAGAGUCCCAAACUCCCUCGAUCAUGGGAGGCACCACAGGUCAGCAAAGCGUCCACGGACUCGCCGACCUGACGCAAGAUCCCUCGACCAAGGUUGAGGCGCCCGAGGUCCUACCAUGGGGUCUGAAACUCCCUCGACCUCGCAGAGAGCUACAAUUCAAUAAAGCCUCGCCAAAUC
rnacentral:lncRNA from 1 species